UCCAGACUCCUACGGGAGGCAGCAGUGAGGAAUAUUGGUCAAUGGUCGGGAGACUGAACCAGCCAAGCCGCGUGAGGGAGGAAGGUACAGAGUAUCGUAAACCUCUUUUGUCAGGGAACAAAGGCGGGGACGUGUCCCCGGAUGAGUGUACCUGAAGAAAAAGCAUCGGCUAACUCCGUGCCAGCAGCCGCGGUAAUACGGAGGAUGCGAGCGUUAUCCGGAUUUAUUGGGUUUAAAGGGUGCGCAGGCGGAGGUGCAAGUCAGCGGUCAAAUUGCGGGGCUCAACCCCGUCGUGUCGUUGAAACUGGCGUUCUUGAGUGAGCGAGAAGUAUGCGGAAUGCGUGGUGUAGCGGUGAAAUGCAUAGAUAUCACGCAGAACUCCGAUUGCGAAGGCAGCAUACCGGCGCUCAACUGACGCUCAUGCACGAAAGCGUGGGUAUCGAACAGGAUUAGAUACCCUAGUACG
rnacentral:rRNA from 1 species